GUCCACGCCGUAAACGAUGGGUGCUAGGUGUUGCGGGCUUUGACCCCUGCAGUGCCGUAGCUAACGCAUUAAGCACCCCGCCUGGGGAGUACGGCCGCAAGGCUAAAACUCAAAGGAAUUGACGGGGCCCGCACAAGCGGUGGAGCAUGCGGUUCAAUUCGACGCAACGCGCAGAACCUUACCUGGGCUAGAAAAUGCAAGGACCUGGUCGAAAGAUCGGGGUGCUCUUCGGAGAGCUUGUAGUUAGGUGCUGCAUGGCUGUCGU
rnacentral:rRNA from 1 species